AGUUUGAUCCUGGCUCAGGAUGAACGCUAGCUACAGGCUUAACACAUGCAAGUCGAGGGGCAGCAUUGGAGUAGCAAUACUUCAGAUGGCGACCGGCGCACGGGUGAGUAACACGUAUCCAACCUGCCGCUUACUCGGGGAUAGCCUUUCGAAAGAAAGAUUAAUACCCGAUGGUAUAAAGAGUUCGCAUGUUCUCUUUAUUAAAGAAUUUCGGUAAGCGAUGGGGAUGCGUUCCAUUAGAUUGUUGGCGGGGUAACGGCCCACCAAGUCUACGAUGGAUAGGGGUUCUGAGAGGAAGGUCCCCCACAUUGGAACUGAGACACGGUCCAAAUCCUACGGGAGGCAGCAGUGAGGAAUAUUGGUCAAUGGACGAGAGUCUGAACCAGCCAAGUAGCGUGAAGGAUGACUGCCCUAUGGGUUGUAAACUUCUUUUAUAAGGGAAUAAAGUGAGGGACGUGUCCCUUUUUGUAUGUACCUUAUGAAUAAGGAUCGGCUAACUCCGUGCCAGCAGCCGCGGUAAUACGGAGGAUCCGAGCGUUAUCCGGAUUUAUUGGGUUUAAAGGGAGCGUAGGUUGACGUAUAAGUCAGCUGUGAAAGUUUACGGCUCAACCGUGAAAUUGCAGUUGAUACUGUAUGUCUUGAGUGUACAAGAGGUGGGCGGAAUUCGUGGUGUAGCGGUGAAAUGCUUAGAUAUCACGAAGAACUCCAAUUGCGAAGGCAGCUCACUGGGGUACAACUGACACUGAGGCUCGAAAGUGUGGGUAUCAAACAGGAUUAGAUACCCUGGUAGUCCACACAGUAAACGAUGAAUACUCGCUGUUUGCGAUAUACAGUAAGCGGCCAAGCGAAAGCAUUAAGUAUUCCACCUGGGGAGUACGCCGGCAACGGUGAAACUCAAAGGAAUUGACGGGGGCCCGCACAAGCGGAGGAACAUGUGGUUUAAUUCGAUGAUACGCGAGGAACCUUACCCGGGCUUGAAUUGCAGAGGAAUAUAGUUGAAAGAUUAUAGCCGCAAGGUCUCUGUGAAGGUGCUGCAUGGUUGUCGUCAGCUCGUGCCGUGAGGUGUCGGCUUAAGUGCCAUAACGAGCGCAACCCUUAUCAUUAGUUACUAACAGGUCAUGCUGAGGACUCUAGUGAGACUGCCGUCGUAAGAUGUGAGGAAGGUGGA
rnacentral:rRNA from 1 species